rnacentral:rRNA from 1 species
UACAGAGGUCUCAACCGUUGUUCGGAUUCAUUGGGCGUAAAGGGUGCGUAGGUGGCGCUGUAAGUCAGGUGUGAAAUUUCGGAGCUUAACUCCGAAACUGCAUUUGAUACUGCGGUGCUUGAGGACUGGAGAGGAGACUGGAAUUUACGGUGUAGCAGUGAAAUGCGUAGAGAUCGUAAGGAAGACCAGUGGCGAAGGCGGGUCUCUGGACAGUUCCUGACACUGAGGCACGAAGGCCAGGGGAGCAAACGGG